CAUCUUCGUUUUGUGAUGGAAGAUCAAACAGGAAAACUGAAUUCUAGCUAUUUCCAUUCAUCAAUCCAACUAAAUUAAAUUGAAUGCACUGUCAAAUAUUCUGUUUUCAUGGAAGCUAUUUGAUGAGUCUUACUUGGUGGUGGGGGUAAGGAGAAGGGGCUUCUGUAUUUGAGGAAUCCUCCCCAGGCCCCCAACACACACACGCACAGUCUAUAUGAGCUGUGGUAAGAGACAUGGUUGUUUCUCUCUUUAGAACCAGUCAUGUGACAUAGGCUCAUCCCAUGAAAUGUUCUUGUCUGAGACUUUGAACUUUAAAUCUCAAGAAGAAAAGUGACUGGUGAGAAAUUUUCCAGAGUGGUGGUAGAAGCAUCGGAGGAGACUUGAGUACCCAUUGGGGGUGCUCCUAAAAGAGCAUCCGAAUCACACUUUUCAGUGAUAUUACUUUAUAGUAAUUUAUCUUAGUCCAGGUGCAGUGCCUCACACCUGUAAUCCCAGCACUUUGGAAGGCUGAGCUGGGAGGAUUGCUUGAGGCUGGCAGUUCAAGACUUCUUCCAUUUUAAGGGGCCUUGUGAUUACAGCUGGUCCAUCUGGAUAUUCUAAGAUAUUCUCCCUAUUUUAAGGAGAGAAAUCUGAAAUCUGAGGUGCAGUUGAUUUGAAUCCAGGAAAUCUAAGGAAAAAGUUCAAGCUCUUAAUCAUUUCAUACCCUUCUUGUUGCUAACUUAAACUUUUUUUUUAAAAAAGUUAAUCUUGUCUAUGAAGCAUGAAUCUAUAAUACUAGGGAAAAAACUGGCUAACUUGAAGAAAAAAUAAAUUGAAAUGAAAAGCAAUUAAUUCCUCUUAAUAUGAAUAAAGGAUGAUCUAAAUGCUUUUUGAGAAAUGAUUUCAAGUAAUGAAAUUUACAGGAAAAAAAAUCCUCUUUUCUGAAUAAGCAAUCAUGGUAUUAAUCCUAAGUUCUUUAAUCUUUAUAUUUACAUUUGUUCUUAAAGCUUGGUGUUUUCUACCAAAACCAUCUGUGUAUCUCUGUCUAUCUUCACGUGUUCUUUCUGUAUACAUUCAUGCAUGCGCACACACACAGAGAUUUCAUUAUUUAUUCAUAAAAUAGUUGAAAAUCACUGCUUUGGCCCUUUUAACUGUAUAUAAAUCUCUCAGUUCUCUAGUGCUUGGAAAGGAAGUAUUUAUUUUAUUUUAUUUUUAUUUUAUUUAUUUUGAGAUAGAGUCUCACUCUGUCGCCCAGGCUGGAGUGCAGUGGUGCAAUCCUGGCUCACUGCAGCCUUAAUCUCCAAGGCUCAAGCUGUCCUCCCACCUCAGCUUCCCUCGUAGCUGGGACCACAGGCAUGCCACCACACCCAGCUAAUUUUUGUGUUUUUUUGGAGAGAUGGGGUUUCCUCAUGUUGCCCACGGUGGUCUGGAACUCCUGGGUUCAAGUGACUGGCCCUACCUUGGCCUCCCAAAGUUCUAUGAUUAGAGGCGUGAGUCACCCUCCCUCGCCAGGAAGUAUGACAAACAGAAUGAGCCUGCAACCAGAGUCUUUGAUUCAAACCCUUGCCCACCAUUCACUGACUGUUUGAGCCUCAGUAUCUUUAUGUGGAACAUGAGGUCUAUAACAGAACUUAACAAACAGGAGAUAAUUAUUAAUGAGAUUAAAUGCAAUGAGGAAUGUCAGUGGUACCCUCUCUGUAGAGGAACUUAAGGAGUUGAGCCUCCAAGCUUCUUUCUUGAUAUGCUGAUGAAAGACAUAGCCUAGUUUAUGGUGGGUGCUGCUUAAAUUCCAGCCCUCUCUCUUUCAGUCAACAGGCUUGGACUCAAAAUAAGCCCCAUUCAGGCUGAUUUGCCUGCCUAUAUCAGUCACAAACUGCACCUCUUGCAAAAACAGCUUUCCCUCCAAUGUGUACUGGCCUUGAAGAAGACUGAGAUAUAGGGAAACAAAGAUCUUUAAAAUCAAGUUACUGAAAGGUCACUGAAAUAAUAUACAGUGAAAGAUGGAUGAUGCCAUCAUUGUAUAAAUAAAGUCAGUACAACCAUUAAAGAACUUACAAGUAUGGGUUUUUUCUUCUCUAUGGUUAUGAUCAUGGAUAGAAUAAUUUUGAUAUGACCAUGAUUAUAUUAUAUCUGGAUGGUUUAGAUGUCUUUCAGAAAAUUAAUAUUUAUUCUUUGGCAUUAUAUAAUUUCUUAAAUAAACAUGAAGAGAGAAAUGUUUUGAAUAACAAUUCUCUAGUCCUAAAUUUUCUAUACUUAGCAUGUAUUGUUUCUUUUUUAAUAACUUACAACAACUUUAUUUUAAAAUUAGUUUAGGCAAUGUUUUUUGAAAUGGCUUCUUUGAAGUCGCUUCUUGGAAUGAUUAUAGCCAUUGUGUAAAGCCAGCAAUAAAAGAAGGAUUUGAAAGUAGAGAGUAGAACAGUAGUUACCAAGGGCUGGAGGCAGGGGUAGAGGAGAUAUUGAUCAAAGGACACAAAAUUUCAUUUAGGAGGAAUAAGUUAAAGAGACGCACUGUCACAUGGUGACUACAGUUAAUAACAAUGUGUUGUGUUAUUGAAAAUCCAUGAGGGUAGAUUUUAAGUGUUCUGACCACAAAAAAAAGCAUGUGAGGUAACACAUACAUUAAUUAGCUCUAUGUAGCCAUUCUAUAAUGUAUACAUGUUUCAAAACAACAUGUACACAAUAAAUAUAUAUGAUUUUUUAUUUGCUAGUUAAGAAAAGCGUUUGACACUUCAAAAAAUAAAAUACUUUUGGCAUAUGAAGAGUCAUUUACAAUCACGCCCCAGACUUUGUUGUUAAUAUUAGCAGGGAUAGUCAUUGCUUAUAAGGUCUUCACAUGCUUAUAAAAGAAGUUUCACUAAAUCUAGUUAGCAUUGAGAAGUGUUGACAAGAAGAGUUGAAAAUAAACCUCAAGACAACUUUCUGAUUUAAAAUUCUAUUUCUUGGUGUGUGAAUGUUAUUUUUGAGGAAACAUACACUUUAUUGCAACAUAAUAAAUAAAUGAGAAAAUAAGACAAUGUUAUUUUACCCAAUAUAGCAGGGUGGUCUUUAAAUAAGUGCAUAAAUAGCCCAUGAGAUAGUUUGAAGCUUUCAGCUUUGUCACCCUGUUGGUCUAGUCAAAUGACUCACAUAUUAGCAAUUUGUUUGCAAAACAUCUUCUUCUUAUAGUUUCCAUUGGAUUACAUAAGAUUGUUUUAUCCUGAUAGAUAAUCUGGACUUUCUUCACCAAAAGAAGGUUAAUAUUCCUACAAAUUUUAAACCAAAACAUUAAAUUUUAUACUGAAAAUACAUCUUCCUUGAGGUCAAGACUGUAGGGGAAGGCAGAUUUUUGGUGUCCUUAUCCAAAUGAUAGCCUUGCAAACCAGGCUGUUUUCAUGAGAGGAUUUUCUUACUUUAUUUAAAUCUUCUCUGAGCGUAACAGGAAAUAAAUCUGGAGACUCCAGCUUCUGGAGCUUUUCCACAAAGAAGAUAAUCUUUCUGAUUUAAAGACACAAUAAACCCUUCUUUCUCCAUGUUCUUCAAAAUCCAUAGAGCUCAAAUAACCACUUCUUUUCAUUCGCUAUAGAACAGCAUUAUUUCCAAAAUUGCAUUUAAAUCAUCUACAUACAGAAGGUUAAAUUUGUUUAAAAAUGAAUAAUUACAUUCAUUUCUUUACAUUUGUACUCUGAAUAAUGUGGAAUUUAAACUAGGUGUGGUUACACUUUAGCUAUGAGACAUUGGGCCGGUCACUUAUUCUCUUCAGAGGAUUAAAAGGAUAAAAUAUUUUAAAAAAUAUCUAUCUAUCUAUCUAUCUAUCUAUCUAUCUAUCUAUCUAUAGAUAGAUACACACACACACACACACACACACACAUAGAGUUCUUAUACAAACCCUCAUUAAAUGUAAUCCAAGUUGUAGACCCACAGUACUGAUUUAGGUAGGCAAAAUAUCAAAUUAACAACAACAAAAAAAUACCAGACAUAAAAAAUGUGUCUCAUAUUCUGGACACAUCAUUAUUCUCUGAAAUAUCCACAGACCACUCUAAUCUGAGCACACCCUAGGUGGACCAGGAACACAAGUAAUGUGAAUGACUGCAAUAAUAAAAUGAGUAUGUUAAACUAUCAAUUACUUGGCUUUGAUUCUGUGCUUGAAUUAUAUUCAAUGAGCCUCUGCUGUGUGCCAGACAAUGUUCUGGGCAGCAGCGACACACUGGUGAACAGUCCUUGCCUAUAUGGAGCUUACAUUUUAGAAGGCAAAGACAGACCAAUAAAUAAGUCAGCAAACAAUUCGUCAAUAUAACUUCAAAUAAUAACAAAUACUUUGAAGAAAAUCAACUAGGGUCGUGCCUGAGGGCUUGGGAAUUAAAUGUACUUUAGUUUGGAAACCAGAGAAGUCAUGGCUGAGGGAUUUAUAUCUUCACUGACAACUGAAGACCCAGAAGAAACCAGCAAGGCAAAGGCUGGGAAUCAAUGUCUCCAGCUGUGUCCUUGAGGAAGCAGGAAAUGCAAACGGCUCUAAAGGAAGAAGGAGCUUACUUAUUUGCCAAACAGAAAGAAAGUUGAUGAGAGCAAUGAAACCGCAAAUUAAUUAAGAUCAAGAAAACACUAACACCAAAACUCAAAGGAUGUUGGAAGCUUGAAAGAAGACCUCAAAGACAAUAUUUGGGCAUAUUUUAAGAGCAUCAUCAAUACUCUGUAUGGCACCGAGGAUGACUUAUGGAAAAACAGAGUUAUCAAUGACUUUUUGUUGGAAAUUAUCCAAAAGAGUAAGAUUCUGCAAAGAAGUUUGUGAAUUUAUUUACCAGUUUAUUUUUAUUUCUAUUUUCAUUUUACGAUUGCCUGAGAGUGAUAUUUGAAAAGUGUUAUAUUCAUAUAUGUCUAAAUUUUUCAACAAGUAUCAAAUAAAGAUUCUAAGUUAUAAGAAAGCAUUGUGUCAGUUUAAUUGUAUGAUUUCUUAAAAUUAGCUCCACAUGAAUGAACGGUACAUCUAAAAUUGAUAAUUUGAUAAUUGUCUCAGAUUUGAGGAAAUACUAUCCUCCAUUAUAGACAAAGGCUAGAAGGACCUGGGAAUGGGGAGGGGGACUAUGUAACAGACAAAUAUUCCAAUCUCAGAUGAUUAUUCUUCCACUCUCCUUUUUUCUCUGAGUCUAAGCUCAUCUUUUACUGUCCCUCUGGACUUUAACAGGCACUCUGCUAUUAAUGCUUAAAUGGAGCAUCUACUUAAUUAGAUUACAGCAUUUACAGGACAUAAACCUUUGGGUACAUGUCAAAGACCCUGGACUUUAGGCCACAACCAAUGUAAGUGGAUGAUUUCCCAAUGAUAGCAUAUGCCUAGAAAGGUUUGGCUUUAUUUUCCGUGAGUUCUUAUCUAAUGCAAAAUAAACUUUGAAUUUAUAUUUCUUGAGUUUUCCAGCACACAAUGUUUUGCUUUUAUAACUUCUAUUAUUAAAAGAAGAAUAUUAUACUAUUUGUAAAUGUUUUUGAUGUGCAAAAUUUUAUACCUAUAGGUUGCAAAAUCUGUGCAUUGCACUAGAAAUUUUGCUGAGUUUUCAGCUCUUAGCCACAGCAUUUAAGUAGUACAAUUCAUUUCAUGUUUAACUUUAUUUAAAUAUCAUAGUGAGUAGACCAUUGGUUUUCAGAUUAUUUUAAAUUUCUUUGUAUAAUCUGAGUUGAUUUCCCAUUGUGUCUGCCAAAGUACUCUUCUUUCUUCUUGAGGACAGUGCACAUUUAGAAAUUACCUUUUUGAAACAUCUUGAAAACUGACUCUUCAAAAAUGACUUUCAAUACUUAAGAACAUGACAAAAAUAUAUUUAUAACAUAACUUUUAGUUACAUGUUAUGCCGUAUAUAAAACUAUGUACUUGUGAAUGUUCAAUACCUAUCCCCCUCCCCCCAAAACAGCAACUUGUUUUGUUGCAUUUGCUGAUUUAUAUAGUAUAAAUACUCCCACAUGUCCAGUUUCAAAGUACCAACUUGAUGUCACUGGACAUACAGUUAGGAAGGGUAUCAUUAUAAAGUAUUUUUACAGUAAAGAAGCAAUAAAUGUAAGCAACUACAAAAGCACACAUAAUAGUGAAAUGCAUUAAAAUAAUUGGGAAAUACUAAGUUUUGAGUAUUACUUCGUUUGCUUAUUUUGUAAUUUAUUUAAUUGUAAGUUUAUAUAAUCCAAUUUUUGGCAAUGGCUGUAUUUAACAACUGGUUUCCAAAUUUACAAAUGUACUCUUUUAAGCCUACAUGAACUGGGUGUAGUUCAGCACUCCUGUAUAUAUGAUAUUUGAUAUUGCCUAUUAUAACACAGGUUAAAAAUAGUGAAGCUUAAACUCAUUUGAGACUUCCUCCCUCCCUCUUUUCCUUCCUUCCUUCCUUUCCUUUCCCUCCUUCCUUCCUUCCUUCCCUCCAUCCUUAAGUUCUUACAGAUUUGCUAGACAUGUCAAAAUGAGUAGAAAUCAGUAUGAACAAAUUAAAUUAUAAAGUUACCUAUUUAUGCUAUUGAUAUGGGGACAGACAGAAAUAAGAAGGUUAUACUUUUCCAGGAUUCUAUAAUAUAUAUUUUCUUUAUAUGUCAGGAUAUAUGUACGUAUCCAGUUAUAUAUCUUGAUACAGUUAUUUUUGUUUCUAUGAAACCAUGUUGAAUGCUAUGAAAAGCCUUGAUAAUGGUAAGUUACUAAAAAAGGCUCUCUAGGUAUGAGCAAGAAGGCGAAAGACUGAGAUAAAAAAUACCAGCUGUUAGUUUCUGUAUUCUGAUUGCUUUGCUAGUAUCUUUAUAUUCUUGGACCACUUUAAAGAAAUAAAACCCAACAUUUUAAAUAAUGAAUUUCUGAGG
rnacentral:lncRNA from 1 species